rnacentral:tRNA from 1 species
GCGGGUAUGGUUAAGUGGUAUAACACGUCCUUGCCAAGGACGAGUCGGGAGUUCGAUUCUCCCUACCCGCA